UUGAAAACAUGAAAGUGAAACGAUCGAAAAGAUGUGAGUAUGGAGAAUGAAGAACAGGGGAAUCAAAGGAGAAAAAGGAGUCAAAAGGAGAAAAGAAAGGUAAAGGCGAAACGAAAUUUCCCCUUUACGAUAAUAUCGAUCCAAAGUUACUGCUAACAUUGUGAAUAUAUGUAAAAGAGGGAGUGGGAUCAAACAGCGCAUGCUCGAGUUACUUUUGGAAGGGUUACGAGCAAUCCACAGAAAUUGAAUAAAUCGUUCACUCUGUUUCGAGUCGUCCUAGAAGCACGUUCUUGUGGGCCUUAGGAGAUGGACGGUCCGGAGUGAUAUAAAAGCGCCUCUUCAGUCGCGAUAAUGGAAACCAUCUGUAACAUUUUAAGCAACACGCUCUCGAACUGUCUCUCGAUAAACGAAUCAUAAUGCAUUAUUAAGAACUAAUUGUUUUCUCACAAAUAGUCCUGCAUUAGCCCUGCAUUACUUGAUACUCGUUAGCCUAUUAAUCCUGUAUUAACGGAGGGAGAUAGAAAUAUUUUCACUAGAACAUGGAUAUAGUUUUCCUUGAGGUGUUACCACAUACUUUGCGAGAUGUUAAUAUCAUAUUCCUUAUAUAGACGUCAAGAAGGGUGGACUGCAUAAUUCAAGGAACCAUUAAAGAGGAAUACCAAUGUCUACCACCAGCAUUUAAUCCUUGCAAUCUGCUGCGAAAGUGACAGAGCUUCGAUGUUUACUGGAGCGUUUAACGAAAUGUUACUAAAACAGUGAUUUAUUUAACUUCUCGUCCAUCUAUUUCGUUCAAAUGGAUUUAAAAUUACCGAAAGUAUUAAGUUUGAAGUUUUCACCUGUGGAAAGCGAAGAUAACCUUCAAGUUCAUUCAAAGGACUGGCUGUAUAAAAACAAAAAUGAUCCCGCUGGACAAUCAAUUGACACUGAUAAGUGAAGAUAAGAAAAAUUAAUAUACGCUUUAUCUUAUCGAAAGUGUUGUUUAAAAUGAUAUAGACGAUAUACUCCAUUAUCGUGCCUGGGGGGGGGUGCUUCUAUAGGGGUUCCAUCUUCUGGAGUCCACUGGAAUCUGCAUGGAUGACUAAGAGACUCAGAAUCAACAGCUUGUAUUCCUUUUUAAAGAAUACAAUAAAUUCAAUGGUCACAUAAAA